UUCAACCCCUAGCCUGGGAACCUCCAUAUGCUGCAGGUGCAGCCCUAAAAAGACAAAAAAAGAAAAGAAAGAAUUCACAGCCAUGAUCCAGAACUCAACCCAGCUCCUCAACAUGGCCCUUGGCUCCUGGGAACCUAACCGAUGAAAUGCGUGACCAGAGUUAUGCCUGAGUUGCCCUUGGACCCCAUCCCCCUCCAUGCCAAUCAGAAUUCUGAGUCCACAUGGGGCCAGUUAGCUAUGGCCAGAUGGUAUUAAUAGUACUGCAUCAGCCAUUGAACUAUUCUUCUCAUGUUACGCUGAGACAUAGGGCACCAUUUUUUUUUAACUCAAUGAAUUUUAUUACAUUUAAAGUUGUACAAUGAUCAUCACAACCCAAUAGGGCACUGGUUUUCAACUGGGAUGACCAACUAUACUAGUUUGCCUGGGGCUGAGUGGUUUCCUGGGACUGGGGACUUUAAGGGUUUUCUUCUUCUUCUUUUUGGCCGCACCCAAGGCAUAUGAAAUUUCCCAGGGCAGGGACUGAAUCUGAGCUGCAGCUGAGACCUACAACACAGCUGCAGUAAUGCCAAUCCACAGCACUGGGCUGGGGAUCGAACCGGAGACUUGAGAUCCUUAACCCACUAUGUCAUAGUAGGAACUCUCUCUGGGGACUUUAAAUUUUAAAACUAGGAAAGUUCCAAGCAAACUGGGAUGAGUUGGCUACACAGUUCUUAAUCCUUGCUGCACAUUAGAUCCAUCCAAGGAGUCUUGUGUAGAGAUUUCAAUUUAAUUGAUCCAGGUGGGGCCCCAAGGUAGGGGUAUUUUUUUCCCCAAGUUGAUUCCAACAAACUACCAGCAUGGAGAACCAUUAGGUUAUAGGUAACAUUGCUAAAAAUCCAUUGAAGGUAAUGAUUUGUUUGAGCAGAAGUGGACACAGAUAUCUCAGAAGGGUGCAUAAUCGAGUGUGUGGUCCUCUCCUUAUGGAGAGGAGUAUCAAAAUGGCACUUGCCUUAUCAUUGCUAUUAUUUUUCCCCACCCCAGGGACUUCUUCGUCAUCAGUGGGGACCAAGCUUUCUCCUUUCCCAGCAUGUUCCAUUACCCCUUCUUUUGAGGUAGUAGUUCAGUGGAAUUGCCUCCUUUUGAUGGGUGAGGUCAUGAUUUGUACAGUUUCAGAUGAAGCUGGCGUGAGAUCUUACUACAUGACCCAGGGGCUUCAGGUACUUCAGCUUUGCCCCCUAGGGUACCAAGCUUGGAGGUCAGGUGCCUCUGGGACUGUUCCCUCUGCAGGUCUCCAGGAUCAUGUGGUACGUCAGCACUCGGGGGAUGGCCCCUCGGGUCGACUUUGAGGGGGCGCUCUUCUCUGGCUAUGCCCCGGACGGGGGCCUCUACAUGCCUGAGGAGCUCCCACAGCUGGGCGGGGAGACCUUGCGCCAGUGGAGUGGGCUCUCCUACGCCGGCCUGGUGAAGGCGCUGUGCAGCCUCUUCAUUGGCCCAGAGCUUAUUCCAAAGGAUGACUUAAACGAUCUGAUCGACCGAGCCUUCAGCAGAUUCCGACACAAAGAGGUGGUCCAUCUGUGCAGGUUGAGGAAUGGGCUGAACGUGCUAGAGCUGUGGCAUGGGGUCACGUAUGCCUUUAAGGACCUGUCGCUGUGCUGCACAGCCCAGUUUCUACAGUACUUCCUGGAGAAGAGGAAGAAGCACAUCACCGUGGUUGUAGGAACUUCUGGGGACACAGGGAGUGCUGCCAUUGAGAGUGUUCAGGGGGCAAAGAACGUGGACAUCAUUGUUCUGCUGCCCAAGGGUCGCUGCACAAAGAUUCAGGAGCUCCAGAUGACAACAGUGCUGAGAGAGAAUGUCCACGUGUUUGGAGUGGAGGGGAACAGCGAUGAGCUGGAUGAGCCGAUCAAGGCCGUGUUUGCCGACGUGGCCUUUGUCAAGAAGCACAAUCUGAUGAGUCUGAAUUCCAUCAACUGGUCCCGGGUCCUCGUGCAAAUGGCCCACCACUUCUUGGCUUAUUUCCAGUGUGCGCCAUCCUUAGACACGCACCCCCUACCCCCCGUGGAGGUGGUUGUGCCAACGGGGGCUGCCGGCAACCUCGCAGCCGGGUGCAUUGCUCAGAAGAUGGGCCUGCCCAUCCGCCUGGUCGUGGCAGUGAACUGCAAUGACAUCAUCCACAGGACUGUUCAGUGGGGAGACUUCUCUCUGUCCGAGACCAUCAAACCAACCUUGGCAUCAGCUAUGGACAUUCAGGUGCCCUACAAUAUGGAGAGGAUCUUCUGGCUGCUCUCUGGCUCUGACAGCCAGAUGACAAGAGCCCUCAUGGAGCAAUUUGAAAGGACCCAACGUGUCAAUGUCCCCAAGGAACUGCACAGCAAGCUUUCAGAGGCAGUAACGUCUGAGUCCAUGAUGGAUGAGGUCAUCACCCAGACCAUGCUCCGCUGCUGGGAAGAGAACCAGUAUUUGCUGUGCCCUCACUCCGCCGUGGCCGUGAGCUACCACUACCAGCAAACGGACCGGCAGCAGCCCAGCCCUCCUCGGUGCUGUCUGGCUCCCGCCUCUGCGGCCAAGUUCCCGGAGGCCGUGCUGGCUGCGGGGCUGACCCCGGACACCCCCGCAGAUAUCCUUGCCCUGGAGCGCAAGGAGGCACGCUGUACCCCGAUGCGGAAGGGCGACGACUGGACGCAAAUGCUUCGGGACACCAUUGAGAACCUGAGCCGGCAGUGGCAGGGGCACUUCCAGAACACCCCGGAAUAAAUAGGCAGAAGCUGGCUUCCUUUAGGCUUUGGACCCCCCAGGAGGUAGCCCUUCUUAUGUGCCUUGUGCACCUGCUUUCGGUUAAGAGCUGGUGCAGGAGGUUCUCAGGGGGCUACUCAGCGGGGUCUGGAGCCAGUGGCCUGUGCUGUUCCCCGGCUGCUGUGUGCUCUCACCGGGGUCCUGUUGUGCCUGGUCCUGGGAUAGGCUGGAGGGGUGUGGGUGAUGGCUAGAGGUGCACUCCCACUGCAAGACCGUCCAGGAGCAUCAUGGCCACAUGAAAAGGUUACCUGCAGGCCCGUCCCUAGCAUUCCUGGCUCUCUUCCUGCCACCCCAACAUCAGCACUGCCAGCUUUGCAUCUCCAUGGUGCCCAUGGGCUAAAAAGAGAGGCCAGAGGCCAGUGUCUGGUGAAUUCUGUAACCAAAGGAACCCAGCUCCCCUGUAAGUGCACACCUGCCCCUCCGUGUGUGAUGAUUCUCAAAGUGUGGCCCUGGGGUUUCCCUCAAAUGCACACUCCUGCCCCCUCGCCACCCCCCGCUGCCCCACGUUCAGAGGCAAAUCUCUGAGCAUGGGUUGGGCAUUUGCAGUUCUUACAGUUUGCCCAAGUAAGUGUCUGCACUCUCAUUUGGGAAACCCUGGCUGGGAACUUCAAGUGUGUUAAUAAUUCUCUUCCAGAGAGAGGUACUCUAUUUUCCCAAGGGCCUGCUUUCUGCCUGCUUCUGUUUUCAUGAUCCAGCCUGUGCUGUCCAACUCAGUAGCCACUACCCACAUGUGACUGUUGAGCAUUUGUGAUGUGAAUAGUAUGACGAAGGAACUGAAUUUAAAAUUUUAUUUAGGAGUUCCCUUUGUGACACAGCAGGCUAG